UUGCUUUCUCCGCCGGCGACCGGCGCACGGGUGAGUAACACGUAUGCAACCUGCCCCUGUCAGGGGGACAACCCGCCGAAAGGCGGGGCUAAACCCGCGUACAUGCCACCGGGGCAUCCCGGAGGCAGGAAAGGCUUCGGCCGGACAGGGAUGGGCAUGCGGCGCAUUAGGCAGUAGGCGGGGUAACGGCCCACCUAACCGACGAUGCGUAGGGGUUCUGAGAGGAAGGUCCCCCACACUGGUACUGAGACACGGACCAGACUCCUACGGAAGGCAGCAG
rnacentral:rRNA from 1 species